UCUAUAGCUGGUUUUAGAGGAUGAUCAGCAACACUGGGACUGAGACACNNNCCAGACUCCUACGGGAGGCAGCAGUGGGGAAUCUUAGACAAUGGGGGCAACCCUGAUCUAGCCAUGCCGCGUGAGUGAUGAAGGCCUUAGGGUCGUAAUGCUCUUUCGCCUGUGAUGAUAAUGACAGUAGCAGGCAAA
rnacentral:rRNA from 1 species